GGCUGCGGGGGGUUCGCUCUGAGCCGCUCUCCUGGCGGUCGCCUCGCGCUCACUGCUGCUCCUCGCGCUCCCCUCAGCACGCGGUGAGGGCAGAGCGGCCGCGGAGCUCCGGUAGAGCGGCGCUGAAGGAGAUGCGGCGGAGCGGCUCCUGGGCCACGUCGUGCAACGCUGAGCUGCGGGAGGAGGAGCCAUCAGCAGACGGAGCUCUUCCACCACGAGAUGGCAUUGAUUGUGCAGGGAAGGAAGGGCUUCCUUUGAUCUCUUUGUGGCCUUAUGAAGUUUAUUUAAAGUGCCAAAGCCACCCAAACGCUCAUGGUGCCACACAGAUCUCUGUCCAUCGUCACUGGCUUGACCACACCGUGCUUAACUCAGACCCUUCUGUAUUUGUUCCUUCUAGUGAUGGCAGAGCAUGAAAGGCGAUAAGGAAAUAAGAAGGAAAAUGAUAUAAUUGCAAGCUCGGUU
ensembl:lncRNA